rnacentral:sRNA from 1 species
AAGCGCAUCCCGGACACCCGCGUCCACUGCUGCCUCUACUUCAUCCCCGCCACCGGCCACUCCCUCAGGCCCCUGGACAUCGAGUUUAUGAAACGCCUGAGCAAGGUGGUCAACAUCGUCCCUGUCAUCGCCAAGGCGGACACACUCACCCUGGAGGAGAGGGUCCACUUCAAACAGCGGAUCACCGCAGACCUGCUGUCCAACGACAUCGACGUGUACCCCCAGAAGGAAUUUGAUGAGGACUCGGAGGACCGGCUGGUGAACGAGAAGUUCCGGGAGAUGAUCCCGUUUGCUGUGGUGGGCAGUGACCACGAGUACCAGGUCAACGGCAAGAGGAUCCUUGGCAGGAAGACCAAGUGGGGCACCAUCGAAGGUACUCGCCGCAGGCGCCAGGGCUCCAGACAGAUGGGAAGACGGUCUCUUCUGCUGACCCAGAGCCUGUGGGCCACGCCUGAGCCGGGGACUCGUGGAACCUCAUCCACUGCCUUGCCCCACCCAGAGGGAGGGGUCUCCUUGUCCCCAUUCAA